rnacentral:rRNA from 1 species
UGCAAGUCGAGGGGCAGCAUGAAAUUUAUUUUAUUUAGAUUUUGAUGGCGACCGGCGGACGGGUGCCGUAACACGUAUGUAACCUACCUUUUUCUAGAAAAUAGCCUGAGGAAACUCGGAUUAAUGUUCUAUAAUACAGUAUUUUCGCAUGAAAAUAUUAUUAAAGCAGAAAUGCGGAAAAAGAUGGGCAUGCGCCCGAUUAGUUAGUUGGUGGGGUAAAAGCCUACCAAGACGAUGAUCGGUAGGGGGCCUGAGAGGGUGAUCCCCCACACUGGUACUGAGAUACGGACCAGACUCCUACGGGAGGCAGCAGUGAGGAAUAUUGGUCAAUGGAGGAAACUCUGAACCAGCCACGCCGCGUGCAGGAAGAAUGCCUUAUGGGUUGUAAACUGCUUUUGUUUAGGAAUAAAAAUUUCUACGUGAUAGAAAUUCUGAAGGUACUAGACGAAUAAGUGUCGGCAAACUCCGUGCCAGCAGCCGCGGUAAUACGGAGGACACAAGCGUUAUCCGGAUUUAUUGGGUUUAAAGAGUGCGUAGGCGGUUUAUUAAGUCAGUAGUGAAAUGUUACAGCUUAACUGUUAAAAUGGCUAAUGUACGUGAUAGACUUGAGUUAGAUUGGGGUAACUGGAAUGUGUGGUGUAGCGGUGAAAUGCAUAGAGAUCACACAGAACACCGAUCGCGAAAGCAGGUUACUAAAUUUAUACUGACGCUGAGGCACGAAAGCGUGGGGAGCAAACAGGAUUAGAUACCCUGGUAGUCCACGCCGUAAACGAUGAUCACUAGUCGUUGGAUUUUAUUAUUCAGUGGCUAAGCGAAAGUGAUAAGUGAUCCACCUGGGGAGUACGACCGCAAGGUUGAAACUCAAAGGAAUUGACGGGGGCCCGCACAAGCGGUGGAGCAUGUGGUUUAAUUCGAUGAUACGCGAGGAACCUUACCAAGGUUUAAAUGUACUACGAAUAAGCUAGAAAUAGUUUAGUCUUCGGACGGAGUACAAGAUGCUGCAUGGUUGUCGUCAGCUCGUGCCGUGAGGUGUUGGGUUAAGUCCCUCAACGAGCGCAACCCUCAUUGUUAGUUGCCAACGAAUAAUGUCGGGGACUCUAGCAAGACUGCCGACGUAAGUCGAGAGGAAGGUGGGGACGACGUCAAAUCAUCACGGCUCUUAUAUCUUGGGCUACACACGUGCUACAAUGGUCGGUACAAAGGGUUGCUACUGAGCAAUCAGAAGCUAAUCUCUAAAAACCGAUCUCAGUUCGGAUUGGAGUCUGCAACUCGAC